UACGUAGUUAGCCGGUGCUUUUUCUGCAGGUACCGUCAAACCGAAGUCCUUCUUCCCUACUAAAAGAGGUUUACAACCCGAAGGCCGUCAUCCCCCACGCGGCGUUGCUGCAUCAGGCUUUCGCCCAUUGUGCAAUAUUCCCCACUGCUGCCUCCCGUAGGAGUCUGGGCCGUGUCUCAGUCCCAGUGUGGCCGGUCACCCUCUCAGGCCGGCUACCCGUCGUCGCCUUGGUGAGCCAUUACCUCACCAACAAGCUGAUAGGCCGCGAGUCCAUCCUUGACCGAAAAACUUUCCACCCGCACCCGAUGCCGGGGCAGGUCGUAUCCGGUAUUAGACGCCGUUUCCAGCGCUUAUCCCAGAGUCAAGGGCAGGUUACUCACGUGUUACUCACCCGUUCGCCACUAAUCCACCCAGCAAGCUGGGCUUCAUCGUUCGACUUGCAUGUGUUAAGCACGCCGCCAGCGUUCGUCCUGAGCCAGGAUCAAACUCU
rnacentral:rRNA from 1 species